rnacentral:rRNA from 1 species
AUUGAACGCUGGCGGCAGGCCUAACACAUGCAAGUCGAGCGAGCGGCGGACGGGUGAGUAAUGUCUGGGCACCUGCCUGUUGGAGGGGGAGCACUGCUGGAAACGGUAGCUCCUCCCGCAUACCAUCCACUGUGCCCCAAUGGGGUUAGCUAGUGGGUGGGUUAACGGCUCACCUAGGCGACGAUCCCUAGCUGGUCUGAGAGGAUGACCAGCCACACUGGAACUGAGACACGGUCCAGACUCCUACGGGAGGCAGCAGUGGGGAAUAGUGCACAAUGGGCGAAAGCCUGAUUCAGCCAUGCCGCGUGUAUGAAGAAGGCCUUCGGGUUGUAAAGUACUUUCAGCGGGGAGGCGUUACCCGCAGAAGAAGCACCGGCUAACUCCGUGCCAGCAGCCGCGGUAAUAC